rnacentral:rRNA from 1 species
AAUGGGCGCAAGCCUGAUCCAGCCAUGCCGCGUGAGUGAUGAAGGCCCUAGGGUCGUAAAGCUCUUUCGCCUGUGAAGAUAAUGACGGUAGCAGGUAAAGAAAUCCCGGCUAACUCCGUGCCAGCAGCCGCGGUAAUACGGAGGGGGUUAGCGUUGUUCGGAAUUACUGGGCGUAAAGCGCGCGUAGGCGGAUUAGUCAGUCAGAGGUGAAAUCCCAGGGCUCAACCCUGGAACUGCCUUUGAUACUGCUAGUCUUGAGUUCGAGAGAGGUAAGUGGAAUUCCGAGUGUAGAGGUGAAAUUCGUAGAUAUUCGGAGGAACACCAGUGGCGAAGGCGGCUUACUGGCUCGAUACUGACGCUGAGGUGCGAAAGUGUGGGGAGCAAACAGGAUU